AAAAUAGUUAUUUAUAAAAUUCUUUGAUCACUUAAUAAAUGAUAUUAAAAAAUUAUAAAAUUUAAUUUCUAAAUAGUUCUAAUAUUGUAUAUCAUGUCUAAUACAACAUAUUGUUGAAUUGAGUAUCUUAUCGUCAAAAAUAACUUACAAUCAUGAAAAGCUUGUGUGCUUUUAAAAUCACAGGAGCUAGCGUACUACUCUAGCCAAAUGUUUACCUAAAAACUAGGAAAAACUUCAAAUACCACCCCUGUAGUUUUAUAUUUUUUUACUUUAGCAUCCUAUGGUUUAAAGUGUAUCAAUUUAGUGCCAUGUGAUUUCAUUUUUAUUUUUUUAUUAUCGAUUCUACUAAUUUUUUUUAUUAAAUCAGUGACAAAAUUAAAACUAAAGGGUAUUAAAGUGAAUAUUCGAUAAACCUAGAUGCAGUAUUUGAAGUUUUUUUUAUAUAUAAUUUAAUAAAUUAUUAACGAAAAUGCUGACGAAAAGAUAAAAAUGAAACCACAUGAUGCUAAUUUAAUACACUUAAAUCACAUGGUAUUAAAGUGAGAAAGUACGAAACCUCAGGGUUGGUAUUUGAAGUUUACCCUAAAAACUAUGAUU
rnacentral:lncRNA from 1 species